UUGGUGAUCAGCCCUGAACACAGAUCGCCAACCAUGGAGUUUGGACUGAGCUUGGUUUUCCUUGUUGCUAUUUUAGAAGGUGUCCAGUGUGAGGUGCAGCUGGUAGAGUCUGGGGGAGGCUUGGUACAGCCUGGCCGGUCCCUGAGACUCUCCUGUGCAGCCUCUGGAUUCACUUUCAGUAGUUAUGGCAUGCACUGGGUCUGCCAGGCUCCGGAAAAGGGGCUGGAGUGGGUUUCAUACAUUGGUAGUAGUACCAUGUACUACGCAGGCUCCGUGAAGGGCCGAUUCACCAUCUCCAGAGACAAUGCCAAGAACUCGCUGUAUCUGCAAAUGAACAGCCUGAGAGCUGAGGACACGGCUGUGUAUUACUGUGGGAGGACAUGGUGAGGGGAAGUCAGUGUGAGCCCAGACACAAACCUCCCUGCAAUGAUCCCCGGGACCAUCAGGGGGCACCCGGGAUACUGUGCUCGGGGCUGUCUCCAGGCCCAGUGCAGGUGCUGCUAA